AUUCCAGCUCCAAUAGCGUAUAUUUAAGUUGUUGCAGUUAAAAAGCUCGUAGUUGGAUCUUGGGUCGUAAGGGUCGGUCCGCCUACUCGGUGUGCACCUGCCCUUCCGUCCCUUUUGUCGGCGGCGUGCUCCUGGCCUUAAUUGGCUGGGUCGCGGUUCCGGCGCUGUUACUUUGAAAAAAUUAGAGUGCUCAAAGCAAGCUUAUGCUCUGAAUACAUUAGCAUGGAAUAACGUGAUAGGAGUCUGGUCCUAUUGUGUUGGCCUUCGGGACCGGAGUAAUGAUUAAUAGGGACUGUCGGGGGCAUUCGUAUUUCAUUGUCAGAGGUGAAAUUCUUGGAUUUAUGAAAGACGGACCACUGCGAAAGCAUUUGCCAAGAAUGUUUUCAUCG
rnacentral:rRNA from 1 species